rnacentral:rRNA from 1 species
CUGGCUCAGGAUGAACGCUAGCUACAGGCUAACACAUGCAAGUCGAGGGGCAGCACAAGGAGCAAUCUGAGGUGGCGACCGGCGCACGGGUGAGUAACACGUAUGCAACCUGCCUGUAAGCGGGGAAUAACCCGUUGAAAGACGGACUAAUACCGCAUAAUACUAAAUUACUGCAUGGUAAUUUAUUUAAACAUUUAUGGCUUACAGAUGGGCAUGCGCAUGAUUAGCUAGUUGGAGAGGUAACGGCUCCCCAAGGCAACGAUCAUUAGGGGUUCUGAGAGGAAGGUCCCCCCACACUGGUACUGAGACACGGACCAGACUCCUACGGGAGGCAGCAGUGAGGAAUAUUGGUCAAUGGACGAGAGUCUGAACCAGCCAAGUCGCGUGCAGGAAGAAUUGUCCUAUGGAUUGUAAACUGCUUUUGCAGGGGAAUAAAGUGCAUCACGUGUGAUGUUUUGUAUGUACUCUGCGAAUAAGGAUCGGCUAACUCCGUGCCAGCCGCCGC